GACGAACGCUGGCGGCGUGCCUAAUACAUGCAAGUUGAGCGCUGAAGGUUGGUACUUGUACCAACUGGAUGAGCAGCGAACGGGUGAGUAACGCGUGGGGAAUCUGCCUUUGAGCGGGGGACAACAUUUGGAAACGAAUGCUAAUACCGCAUAAAAACUUUAAACACAAGUUUUAAGUUUGAAAGAUGCAAUUGCAUCACUCAAAGAUGAUCCCGCGUUGUAUUAGCUAGUUGGUGCGGUAAAGGCUCACCAAGGCGAUGAUACAUAGCCGACCUGGGAGGGUGAUCGGCCACAUUGGGACUGAGACACGGCCCAAACUCCUACGGGAGGCAGCAGUAGGGAAUCUUCGGCAAUGGACGAAAGUCUGACCGAGCAACGCCGCGUGAGUGAAGAAGGUUUUCGGAUCGUAAAACUCUGUUGGUAGAGAAGAACGUUGGUGAGAGUGGAAAGCUCAUCAAGUGACGGUAACUACCCAGAAAGGGACGGCUAACUACGUG
rnacentral:rRNA from 1 species